rnacentral:lncRNA from 1 species
GAGAGGGCGAGGAGAGAGUUCGCGGUCGUCCCCCAAAGAGGCCCUCAGAAGCAACUCCAGCAAAGCAAACCCAGAAAUUCCAGAUCAGCCUUUUGAGAGAAAAGUGAGAUUUUCACAAGCCUUCGAUAAAAAUUAGCCAAAACCUUCAACUAGAGAGUGAAACUCCACUCAAAUAUCUUUCCAUCCAUAGGUCGCACGUCCUAAAUGGAGAUCAGGAAGGCCUCCUAAAGCCCCCCGAAAAACACCCUCCAGGCGGGCCAGGAAAAGUGUUGAGCCCAGUUGGUCACGAGUGGAGAAAAGGCAGUGUUUUUGAGAAAUUUUAGAAACAAAUGAGGAAAAUAUUGACCUCUACCCCAAACUAGAAUACAUAUAGUUUGGCUUGGUGGCAAUUUUUACAAAAACAUACGUCUUGAAGUCUAAUUUUAGAGGUCAACGAAAAACUUCGUUGUUAGUUCUUCUUUUCUGCAGAUCUCAUUUCCAGUUGAAGAAGCCAACUUCCACGUGCUUCCAGAGGACAAUUUCUCGGUUUCCUUGGCCAAGAACCACUUGAAAAGGAAACUAGGAAGUAAGGUAAGCAUCCUAGAUGUACUUAUUUUCGAGUUUGAGCAUGUUUUGAUCAUGAAAAUCAAGAGGAAAACCAGUCCGGAAAACUGAUUUCUGAGGCUGAAAUUUU